AAAAAGGCCCUUUUCAGGGCCACUAAACUGAUCCAGAAAAGCUAUA
rfam:Lingula anatina scaffold644, whole genome shotgun sequence.